GAUGAACGCUGGCGGCGUGCCUAAUACAUGCAAGUCGAGCGAACAGACGAGGAGCUUGCUCCUCUGACGUUAGCGGCGGACGGGUAAGUAACACGUGGAUAACCUACCUAUAAGACUGGGAUAACUUCGGGAAACCGGAGCUAAUACCGGAUAAUAUAUUGAACCGCAUGGUUCAAUAGUGAAAGACGGUUUUGCUGUCACUUAUAGAUGGAUCCGCGCCGCAUUAGCUAGUUGGUAAGGUAACGGCUUACCAAGGCAACGAUGCGUAGCCGACCUGAGAGGGUGAUCGGCCACACUGGAACUGAGACACGGUCCAGACUCCUACGGGAGGCAGCAGUAGGGAAUCUUCCGCAAUGGGCGAAAGCCUGACGGAGCAACGCCGCGUGAGUGGUGAAGGUCUUCGGAUCGUAAAACUCUGUUAUUAGGGAAGAACAAAUGUGUAAGUAACUAUGCACGUCUUGACGGUACCUAAUCAGAAAGCCACGGCUAACUACGUG
rnacentral:rRNA from 1 species